ensembl:lncRNA
GGGGAAAAAUUUGUUGGAUUCCUCCGUGAAAGGUGGAAACCAAGUGUGAAAAAAGCCAAGACAUAAGAAAUAAAAUGUUCAUUGAUCUUGUGACAUAUAAGUCUUUGUACCAUUAAAACAUCUUGCAAUUUUCAUAGCUUAAAACGUCCAGUAAAAAUAACAUUUAUUUAAAAGAACUGCACUUUGUGUAUUUUUGCGACUUUGGAGCCCCCUGCAGUUAAAAGAGUGGAAUUCACUGUCUAAUUAUAGUAAAAAGCUGUUUGCGUGGUUUUGUUGCUGGCUUAAAGCGAUCCGUACUUUUCGCGGAUUUUCGUUCCCGCUCAACAUACUUCCGGAAAUAGAAGUUGUUUGAGAAGAGCGUCAUAAAGAAAUAGAAGCAUUCGGCUAAUUUUAAAUCAGUGUACUAUCAGAGGAUUCUGAAACUGAUAUUUUAAGGGAAAAAAAUUUAUACAGUUGCUUUCAUCAAGGAAGGACCCCUAUUUUUGUUCCAAAUCGUGUUGGAGGAUUAAAUGUUUGUUGGGAUUAUUUGAUAGAAGUUCGUUUAGUAAACGAGGAAGUAUCCAACUGUAUUGGAUUUGACAGCAGCAACAUCACAAAAUCGCUCAAUAAACCCAUACCUGAAAGCAUCGAAGGCAUUCAUAAACACCUCAGAUGAAGCGAUUGUGCUCUAACUUAUUCCACCCAAUACGUUUUUCCUGGAGUUAAGUAAACCCAAGGUCAGAUGUGCCGUUGUGCUCAAUAACUGCUGAAAUGAGGUAUCAAUACGUGGACCAAAUGGAAACAGAAGAAUUCAAUCUCAGCUCUCUCUCAUGCACAGCCACCGUCAUCCAGUGCAUGUGGUCUGUCUGUCUGUCAGUAAGCUGUCUAUCACAUGCGGUCCAGGCUAUCCAGUCAGGCCUCAGGCACACACUCAGAGAAGCCUGGCUGUGCCUGAUGGAUUCCAAGUGCACGCCUCCCUCCGAAACUUUCCCUCGGCUUACAGCGAGAUGCACUUCUGUCAGGAGAAAAUAAUGAGCAAUGCAAACUCGCUUGACC